AUUGAACGCUGGCGGCAUGCUUUACACAUGCAAGUCGAACGGUAACAGGCCUUCGGGUGCUGACGAGUGGCGAACGGGGGAGUAAUGCAUCGGAACGUACCCAGAGGUGGGGGAUAACGCAGCGAAAGCUGUGCUAAUACCGCAUGUGAUCUGAGGAUGAAAGCGGGGGACCGAGCAGCAAUGUUUGGCCUCGCGCCUUUGGAGCGGCCGAUGUCGGAUUAGCUAGUUGGUGGGGUAAAGGCCGACCAAGGCGACGAUCCGUAGCUGGUCUGAGAGGACGACCAGCCACACUGGGACUGAGACACGGCCCAGACUCCUACGGGAGGCAGCAGUGGGGAAUUUUGGACAAUGGGCGCAAGCCUGAUCCAGCAAUGCCGCGUGCGGGAAGAAGGCCUUCGGGUUGUAAACCGCUUUUGGCAGGAACGAAACGGUGUCCGCUAAUACCGGGCGCUAAUGACGGUACCUGCAGAAUAAGCACCGGCUAACUACGUG
rnacentral:rRNA from 1 species